rnacentral:lncRNA from 1 species
GUUCAAGCAAUUCUUCUGCCUCAGCCACCCGAAUAGUAGCUGAGACUACAGGUGCAUGCCAUCAUGCCUCGCUAAUUUUCGUAUUUUUAGUAGAGACGGAGUUUCACCAUGUUGGCCGGGCUACUCUCAAACAUCUGACCUCAAGUGAUCCACCCACCUCGGCCUCCAAAAGUGAUGGGAUUACAGGUGUGAGCCACUGCACCCGGCCUGGAACUCUUCCCAACACUUCUCAUACCCUCUGUUUCCUCUCUUUUGUUAUAGAUGAAGGGGAAGAAAAAGAUAAAACCAAACACAGCCCAGAAAUUCUGGCAUACAAAUCAGAAAAGAACUACUUCUUAGCCACCUGUGCCAGGUAGGUGGGUGGAUUAUAGAUUUAAAUCCAGCAGAAUGUGGUCCAAACUGGUUCUACAGACAAUGAAGUGGUUCUUUG